rnacentral:rRNA from 1 species
UACGUAGGGGGCAAGCGUUGUCCGGAUUUAUUGGGCGUAAAGAGCGUGUAGGCGGCCAGGUAGGUCCGCUGUGAAAACUCGAGGCUCAACCUCGAGAUGUCGGCGGAAACCAUCUGGCUAGAGUCCGGAAGAGGAGAGUGGAAUUCCUGGUGUAGCGGUGAAAUGCGCAGAUAUCAGGAAGAACACCCGUGGCGAAGGCGGCUCUCUGGGCCAUUACUGACGCUGAGGAGCGAAAGCGUGGGGAGCGAACAGG